UGGUCUGAGUACGAGCAACUUGCCAACAACCUUAAGUCGGGCUGACUAGAAGUCUAGUUGAUGUAAAGUUAGUUGAAGCAUAAAUAUAUAACCUUAGUCCUUUAUAUUUAAAAAAUGGAGGCCCAAUUGAGCCCAUUGAGAGCACAUCAGAAAACUCUUCAGCUAGUUCCAAAGUACUAUUACCAAUAAAUUUCGGACUUUGGCCCUUGUCAACCACUGGA
rnacentral:lncRNA from 1 species